rnacentral:ncRNA from 1 species
UCAAGGCAAAAUCGAAGAAAUUCGAUGACGCAAAACUAUAGGGACUAAGCCGAAAGGUAUGUUAGCCAGUUGCCGC